rnacentral:rRNA from 1 species
AGAGUUUGAUCCUGGCUCAGAGCGAACGCUGGCGGCAGGCCUAACACAUGCAAGUCGAACGGAUCCUUCGGGAUUAGUGGCGGACGGGUGAGUAACACGUGGGAACGUGCCUUUUGGUUCGGAACAACUCAGGGAAACUUGAGCUAAUACCGGAUAAGCCUUUCGAGGGAAAGAUUUAUCGCCAUUAGAGCGGCCCGCGUCUGAUUAGCUAGUUGGUGAGGUAACGGCUCACCAAGGCGACGAUCAGUAGGGGAUCUGAGAGGAUUAACCCCCACACGGAUACUGAGACACGGAUCCGACUCCUACGGGAGGCAGCAGUAAGGAAUAUUGGACAAUGCCCGCAAGGGUGAUCCAGCCAUGCCGCGUGAGUGAUGAAGGCCUUCGGGUCGUAAAGCUCUUUUACCAGGGAUGAUAAUGACAGUACCUGGAGAAUAAGCUCCGGCUAACUCCGUGCCAGCAGCCGCGGUAAUACGGAGGGAGCUAGCGUUGUUCGGAAUUACUGGGCGUAAAGAGUACGUAGGCGGUUAUUCAAGUCAGAGGUGAAAGCCCGGGGCUCAACCCCGGAACUGCCUUUGAAACUAGAUAGCUAGAGUCUUGGAGAGGUUAGUGGAAUUCCGAGUGUAGAGGUGAAAUUCGUAGAUAUUCGGAAGAACACCAGUGGCGAAGGCGGCUAACUGGCCCAUUACUGACGCUGAGGCUCGAAAGCGUGGGGAGCAAACAGGAUUAGAUACCCUGGUAGUCCACGCC